ACAAGGUAGCCGUACCGGAAGGUGCGGCUGGAUCACCUCCUUUCUAAGGAGCACCAUUUCCCAGUCGAAUGAACUAGGGAACAUAAAGUAGGCAUCUGUAGUGGGUAUCUACUUGGUGAAUAUGUUUUGUAAAUCCUGUCCACCCCCGUGGAUGGGUAGUCGGCAAAACGUCGGACUGUCAUAAGAAUUGAAACGCUGGCACACUGUUGGGUCCUGAGGCAACACGUUGUGUUGUCACCCUGCUUGGUGGUGGGGUGUGG
rnacentral:misc_RNA from 1 species